rnacentral:rRNA from 1 species
CAAUAGCGUAUAUUAAAGUUGUUGCAGUUAAAAAGCUCGUAGUUGGAUUUCGGAUGGGAUUUGCCGGUCCGUCGUUACGAUGUGCACUGGCCAGUCCUAUCUUGUUGUCGGGGACUAGCUCCUUGGAUUCACUUCCUGGGACUAGGAGCUGACGAGGUUACUUUGAGUAAAUUAGAGUGUUCAAAGCAAGCCUACGCUCUGAAUACAUUAGCAUGGAAUAACACGAUAGGACUCUGGCUUAUCUUGUUGGUCUGUGAGACCAGAGUAAUGAUUAAGAGGGACAGUCGGGGACAUUCGUAUUUCAUUGUCAGAGGUGAAAUUCUUGGAUUUAUGAAAGACGAACUUCUGCGAAAGCAUUUGUCAAGGAUGUUUNCAUUA